rnacentral:rRNA from 1 species
UCAGAGCGAACGCUGGCGGCAGGCUUAACACAUGCAAGUCGAACGGGCACCUUCGGGUGUCAGUGGCAGACGGGUGAGUAACACGUGGGAACGUACCCUUCGGUUCGGAAUAACUCAGGGAAACUUGAGCUAAUACCGGAUACGCCCUUUUGGGGAAAGGUUUACUGCCGAAGGAUCGGCCCGCGUCUGAUUAGCUUGUUGGUGGGGUAACGGCCUACCAAGGCGACGAUCAGUAGCUGGUCUGAGAGGAUGAUCAGCCACACUGGGACUGAGACACGGCCCAGACUCCUACGGGAGGCAGCAGUGGGGAAUAUUGGACAAUGGGCGCAAGCCUGAUCCAGCCAUGCCGCGUGAGUGAUGAAGGCCUUAGGGUUGUAAAGCUCUUUUGUCCGGGACGAUAAUGACGGUACCGGAAGAAUAAGCCCCGGCUAACUUCGUGCCAGCAGCCGCGGUAAUACGAAGGGGGCUAGCGUUGCUCGGAAUCACUGGGCGUAAAGGGCGCGUAGGCGGCCGAUUAAGUCGGGGGUGAAAGCCUGUGGCUCAACCACAGAAUUGCCUUCGAUACNGGNUGGCUUGAGACCGGAAGAGGACAGCGGAACUGCGAGUGUAGAGGUGAAAUUCGUAGAUANUCGCAAGAACACCAGUGGCGAAGGGCGGCUGUUNNNNNNCGGUCGACGNUGAGGCG